AGUGGCGCACGGGUGCGUAACACGUAUGUAACCUACCUUUAUCAGGGGGAUAGCCUCUCGAAAGAGAGAUUAAGCCCGCAUAACAUUAUGAUAUGGCACCAUAUUAUAAUCAAAUAUUUAUAGGAUAAAGAUGGGCAUGCGGAACAUUAGCUAGUUGGUAAGGUAACGGCUUACCAAGGCUACGAUGUUUAGGGGAUCUGAGAGGAUGACCCCCCACACUGGUACUGAGACACGGACCAGACUCCUACGGGAGGCAGCAGUAAGGAAUAUUGGUCAAUGGGCGGAAGCCUGAACCAGCCAUGCCGCGUGCAGGAAGACGGCCCUACGGGUUGUAAACUGCUUUUAUACGGGAAUAAACCUCACUACGUGUAGUGAGCUGAAUGUACUGUAAGAAUAAGGAUCGGCUAACUCCGUGCCAGCAGCCGCGGUAAUACGGAGGAUCCGAGCGUUAUCCGGAUUUAUUGGGUUUAAAGGGUGCGUAGGCGGCCUAUUAAGUCAGGGGUGAAAGACGGUAGCUUAACUAUCGCAGUGCCUUUGA
rnacentral:rRNA from 1 species